rnacentral:rRNA from 1 species
AUGGGCGGGCGUGCUUACACAUGCAGUCGAACGGGAUCCAUCAGGCUUUGCUUGGUGGUGAGAGUGGCGAACGGGUGAGUAAUGCGUGACCGACCUGCCCCAUACACCGGAAUAGCUCCUGGAAACGGGUGGUAAUGCCGGAUGCUCCGACUCCUCGCAUGGGGUGUCGGGAAAGAUUUCAUCGGUAUGGGAUGGGGUCGCGUCCUAUCAGGUAGUCGGCGGGGUAACGGCCCACCGAGCCUACGACGGGUAGCCGGCCUGAGAGGGCGACCGGCCACAUUGGGACUGAGAUACGGCCCAGACUCCUACGGGAGGCAGCAGUGGGGAAUAUUGCACAAUGGGCGCAAGCCUGAUGCAGCGACGCCGCGUGCGGGAUGACGGCCUUCGGGUUGUAAACCGCUUUUGAUCGGGAGCAAGCCUUCGGGUGAGUGUACCUUUCGAAUAAGCACCGGCUAACUACGUGCCAGCAGCCGCGGUAAUACGUAGGGUGCAAGCGUUAUCCGGAAUUAUUGGGCGUAAAGGGCUCGUAGGCGGUUCGUCGCGUCCGGUGUGAAAGUCCAUCGCUUAACGGUGGAUCUGCGCCGGGUACGGGCGGGCUGGAGUGCGGUAGGGGAGACUGGAAUUCCCGGUGUAACGGUGGAAUGUGUAGAUAUCGGGAAGAACACCAAUGGCGAAGGCAGGUCUCUGGGCCGUUACUGACGCUGAGGAGCGAAAGCGUGGGGAGCGAACAGGAUUAGAUACCCUGGUAGUCCACGCCGUAAACGGUGGAUGCUGGAUGUGGGGCCCGUUCCACGGGUUCCGUGUCGGAGCUAACGCGUUAAGCAUCCCGCCUGGGGAGUACGGCCGCAAGGCUAAAACUCAAAGAAAUUGACGGGGGCCCGCACAAGCGGCGGAGCAUGCGGAUUAAUUCGAUGCAACGCGAAGAACCUUACCUGGGCUUGACAUGUUCCCGACAGCCGUAGAGAUAUGGCCUCCCUUCGGGGCGGGUUCACAGGUGGUGCAUGGUCGUCGUCAGCUCGUGUCGUGAGAUGUUGGGUUAAGUCCCGCAACGAGCGCAACCCUCGCCCUGUGUUGCCAGCACGUCAUGGUGGGAACUCACGGGGGACCGCCGGGGUCAACUCGGAGGAAGGUGGGGAUGACGUCAGAUCAUCAUGCCCCUUACGUCCAGGGCUUCACGCAUGCUACAAUGGCCGGUACAACGGGAUGCGACACGGCGACGUGGAGCGGAUCCCUGAAAACCGGUCUCAGUUCGGAUUGGAGUCUGCAACCCGACUCCAUGAAGGCGGAGUCGCUAGUAAUCGCGGAUCAGCAACGCCGCGGUGAAUGCGUUCCCGGGCCUUGUACACACCGCCCGUCAAGUCAUGAAAGUGGGUAGCACCCGAAGCCGGUGGCCUAACCCUUUGUGGAUGGAGCCGUCUAAGGAGACUGG